ACAAAGAGCAGCAAUUCGCGAGGACAAGCAAAAUCUCAUAAACCGUGGCUCAGUUCAGAUCGUAGGCUGCAACUCGCCUACGUGAAGGAGGAAUCGCUAGUAAUCGCAGGUCAGCAUACUGCGGUGAAUACGUUCCCGGGCCUUGUACACACCGCCCGUCACACCAUGGAAGUUGGCCACGCCCGAAGCCGUUACUCCAACCCUUGUGGAGGAGGACGUCGAAGGUGGGGCUGAUGACUGGGGUGAAGUCGUAACAAGGUAGCCGUACCGGAAGGUGCGGCUGGAUCACCUCCUAA
rnacentral:rRNA from 1 species